UACGGAGGAUGCAAGCGUUAUCCGGAAUUAUUGGGCGUAAAGCGUACGUAGGCGGCUUAUCAAGUCUGGGGUCAAAGACCACAGCUUAACUGUGGAAAGGCCUUGGAAACUGGUGAGCUGGAGUGAGGUAGGGGUUGCGGGAAUUCCCGGUGUAGCGGUGAAAUGCGUAGAUAUCGGGAAGAACACCUGAGGCGAAAGAGCGCGACGGGGCCUUAACUGACGCUGAGGUACGAAAGCUAGGGGAGCGAAUGGG
rnacentral:rRNA from 1 species